UACAGCUUGUCCACUGUCUGCAUGUU
rnacentral:piRNA from 1 species